GACGAACGCUGGCGGCGUGCUUAACACAUGCAAGUCGAACGGAAAGGCCCUGCUUUUGUGGGGUGCUCGAGUGGCGAACGGGUGAGUAACACGUGAGUAACCUGCCCUUGACUUUGGGAUAACUUCAGGAAACUGGGGCUAAUACCGGAUAGGAGCUCCUGCUGCAUGGUGGGGGUUGGAAAGUUUCGGCGGUUGGGGAUGGACUCGCGGCUUAUCAGCUUGUUGGUGGGGUAGUGGCUUACCAAGGCUUUGACGGGUAGCCGGCCUGAGAGGGUGACCGGCCACAUUGGGACUGAGAUACGGCCCAGACUCCUACGGGAGGCAGCAGUGGGGAAUAUUGCACAAUGGGCGGAAGCCUGAUGCAGUAACGCCGCGUGCGGGAUGACGGCCUUCGGGUUGUAAACCGCUUUCGCCUGUGACGAAGCGUGAGUGACGGUAAUGGGUAAAGAAGCACCGGCUGACUACGUG
rnacentral:rRNA from 1 species